GCUAAAAAAAAUAAAAAAUAAAGUUGACCAUGCAAUAUACAUUCUCAUUUGUUGGACUAUUAUGUGCGUCUCCUUUGAGAACUGGAAACUCAGGAUGGGGGUGUGUGUGUAGGGAGAACGAGUUGUGUUGCUAUGGAGACCGGGGUUGGCUGGAGCCAGCCCGCACCGGUGCUGAUGCUAUGCGAAAUGUUUGUAACACAUCAGUACACAAAAGGCUGUUUCUCAGGUAUAAACAUAAAUAAGACACAGCAAGAGCAGUAGAGAGUGUGGAGUGGGGCAGGGUGGGAGAAGAGGGAAUAUGACACAAAGGAUUGUAUCCAGUUGUGUGGCUGGGAGAUCUUCCCUGGAAAAUUAAGGACAGACUUUAUUAAGGUUACCACGGGGCUGGAUACAACUCAGACUCCCCCCCUUGCACUAUACAUUUAAAGCAAAAUCCUUAUGGGACUAGAAUUCCCAAAGUUCUCUGGGGAGAUGGAUUGGGAACUGCAGCUCUGGGAGAGGAAGUGUGCAUGGGGUCUCCUAACCACUCUCUGCACCCUUAUCAAACUACAGCUCCCAUAAUUCCUUGGUGGAACCUUGACUGUUUAAAGCGGUAUGAUACUGCAUUAAAUGUAUGGUGUGAAAGCGGUCUAUGUGUUCAACCAAUGAAAGACUGGUAAACAACCUGCAUUUUAGACCCAUUGAAAUUAAUGGGCAUGAUUAACAUAUUUAUCUUGUUCUGUUCCAUUUGGAAUAGUUUUAUGUAUUGUAGUGAUCUUAUCUUAAGGUUACUUUUUUUAAAAGGCAAAGUUGUUUGGCCGUUUUAAAGCUAUUUUUAUGGAAAAUCGGCAAAAACGGCCAACAUGUGCUGCCAUUCGUCCAGAUUUUCCCAGACAAUUUCGGGAUUUCCGCCCGGACUCUGCUGCCGAUAUGUCUGGAUAUGUCCAGAAAAUCCCAGGCGUAUGGCAACUCUAUCUUAUCUUGUUUUCAUCAUUGUGCUUUCUAUUGCUAUAACUUUAGGCAGUGCUUUUUUCUGGGGGGACAUAUGCAUACCCCUAAACAUUUUGUGAAUCUAAGUUUGGCCUCAUUGAGGGGCAGUAUUUCAAUAGGAGUAGGAAAAUGAGAGUACCCCUCAACAUUUUUUUUUAGGAAAAAAAGCACUGACUUUAGGGUCAAGUGUGGGUAAGAAAUCUUACAAAAGCAAACACGUUUAUUAAUUUCAGUGGGCCACCUCUGAGUAAAAGUUGGUUGGCUACAACCCCAUGAAAGGGUGUCAGCUCCAUUUGGGGGCAGAAUACCUCUGGAUAAGUAAUUAUCACUACAGUGGUACCUCAGGUUAAGUACUUAAUUGAUUCUGGAGGUCUGUUCUUAACCUGAAACUGUUCUUAACCUGAAGCACCACUUUAGCUAAUGGUGCCUCCCGCAGCCUCCGCGCCAACGCUGCACGAUUUCUGUUCUCAUCCUGAAGCAAAGUUCUUAACCCGAGGUACUAUUUCUGGGUUAGCAGAGCCUGUAACCUGAAGCGUAUGUAACCAGAAGCAUAUGUAACCCGAGGUACCACUGUAUAUAGUAAGCUAGUGUGUUGUAGUGGUUAGAAUGCUAAACCAGGACUGGAGGGUUUCGGAUUCAAUUCCUGAUUCAGGCCCACUCACUGGGGGACCAGACUCUGUCUCUCAACCUGUCCUAUACCACAGGGUUGCUUUGAGGAUAUUAUGAAAGAAGGAACCUCACAUGCAACUCUGAGCUCCUUGAAGGAAUGGCAGAGCAAAAAAUGCAAUAAAUAAAUAUAAGAUUCAAUAGUGGUAUAUUCUUUGCCCCCUGUGGGGGACUACGAACCCUUGCCUGGUUAUAUGUGUUCUUUUAUAACAGAAAUGUCUGUGUCAUGCUAGAGAUCGUAUCAGGGUAGAAUACAGCAAAUAUUUACCAGGCCAGACAAUGUGUUGCCAUAACAACAAGGGCUCCUUUACCGUAACCAGAAGUGUUUGUUGGGUAGCUAGGCUUCAGGGCUUUUUCAGAGUUAAAAUUAAACAGAAUUCUUUUGGGUGCGACCUUUGUGAGUCAGUGGGCUAGAACACUGCGCCGUCAGAAAGUCAGCUCCUUUUCUUCGUUUGCAAGGCUGCUUUGUGGGAGAGGCGAAAGAAUGAACUAUUGGCCUUUAUGAAGGAGGAUUUGAUUGGCAGCAUCUAUAGGUUGUCAAAGGAACCCAAACAUCUUUCAGUUCUGUGUUUUCUAGUGGGAAGAGCUAUUUAGCUCUGAACACAUACAGAAACCACUCAGAUGCCCACAGCCUUCAGAUUCUCUCAUUUCAUGAUUGUGGUGGUAUGAAGGAGGCAGCCUUGGCCUUGGCUGAUUUUGCCACUGACGACCACGAUGGGCUGCACCACCAGCAAGAGCACAACAGUUGUGGAAGCAGCUGAAAAACCUGGUGACCCACCUCAGGGAGAAGAAAAUAACCAGGAUGCCAACUCUGAAACAAAGGCAGAUUCCAUACAGAACUCCUCUGCCAAAGAGGGUACCUGCAAAAGCUGAAGCAAAGGAGGUGCCUCCUCCCAAAAUAUCUGCUAUGACUGGGCAAAUGAACUUAUCAAUUUGGUCUUUCUUCUUUGCCUGUGAGAUGAACAAAGAGGUUCAUUUUCAUUACUUGCCUAAUCAGGACUGUGGGAAGAAAGGAGAAACUCUUUCAUGAAUUACACAUUCCUUAAAGACUGCUCAAGGGGUCCUUCUGGAAGGAGCAAUUUCAUAUUCCACCUGGAUGUCAGACUGAGGAUUCUUCCACAUUGAAAUCCAAAGGUGAUUUGGCUGCUCCUACGGGCAGACUCAUUUUUGCUGCAAUUUCACUUGAGUUGCCACUGAUUUUUUGCCAAAAGUAAAACUCUAAAUGGUUCUCAAGGUUCCUACUUGGCCAGAAGAUUGAAGGACGUCCACAGAAAUCAAAAUCUAGUGCAAGAGAAUUAAAACUGUCCAUAAUCUUAGAGUGGUUUUGUUUGCCACAGGAUUUCACAGGAAAUUAAAAAGAAUCUAAGGAACUUCAAGAGAUCUAAGGAACUUAAAGAGAAGUAGUUUUAACGCAACUAGCAAAAAUGCUCAGGAAAGGGAAGGCACUGCAUACCUUUAAAGUACUUUCUCUGGACAUUUUGGGCCAGGUUUGAAGCGAGACAAUUAACUUCAAGGAGAGCAAAUGAAAUAUAAAUAUAAAUCACCAUACUGUCCAUCUUAUUUUCUAUAUUAAGGUUUACAUGACUGCUGAAGGCCAGAUAGUCAUGAUGGGUUCAAUCGUAUACAUUCUUACCUCUGAGUAAGUCUCUUUGUGCUUAAUAGGGCUUACCUUGCAGUAGACUUGUAUAUGAUCACGUCUUCUAAUCUUUAGUAUCAUGUUUGAAUACAGUAGAUGAAAUUCCAACCCUAUGCUCAAAUUAACAGCCAUGAAUUGGACUUGAUUGCUCAAGAUCUUGGAUCUAAAUGGCAAACGUUUGAAGGGAUUAAAGUUAUGAGUUGUGAUCAACAUUUGCUGUACCUUAUCUCUCUUUAAUAUAGCUUCCUCUGUAUUAUGUACUGUAAUGUUUUUGCAUUCAAAAACAACUGCAUAUGAUGUUUGCUCUGUUCACAUUUGGUACCCAUGGGUACCUAGAAACCAAUGUACACCUUACCAUGACUCUUGGUCAACAUCUGAUCAGGGUCAACCUGAAUCAGUCCUAAGUGAGUACACUUAGGGCAAGUUCAUCCAUGGAAACAGUCAAUAAAAGUUUCUGAUUCCUUGGAGGAAGCCCUAGAUGCAUAAGCUCCCCUGUUGUCAGUUCAUGUGCCAACUUAUAGGGGGACAGGACUAGCUUGCACAUUCGCAAUAGUCACUUCAUGCAUUCUGUACCCAUGCGUACCAAAUGUCUGAAGAGGGCUAUUCUUAUAUUGGUUUUCUGUGGUUUUCAAACUGUGCUCUGGGUAACCCUGGGGCCUUUCAGAAUCUUCUUGGUACAACAGCUUUCUUCACCAUGUCUUAGGAUGCUUCUGACGGUCAGCACUAUGUGGGAGGGAUUGAAGAGUGUACUGGGAAAUGUCAGUCUGGGCAAUUAAAGUGGAUUAAAGCAUUUUGUCACCCUAGUGCAACAAAGCCACUUUUGAAAAACAAACAAACAAACAAACAAACAAACUUUUAAAGGAAGGGAUGGAGAAAUGUGUAAAUAUUGCACAAGCAAGUCAGGAUGAAUUCAGGAUUAAUGCUCACUGUUGUAUAACCUCCCUGCAGACAAAUCAGAACGAAUGCUCAGUAAAGAUCAGAUAUAAUAUAACCUCCAUGUAAGCUUUGUGGAAAGAAAUCAGAAUGAAUGCUUAAUAAGUAGGUCUUCUGGAAGAGCACUUAGCCAUAGGCUUUGUUGAGAGAGUAUGCUCAGUUCACACAAGGAUAUCUGUUAUGAUGAUACAUUCUAGUCAGCUGCCUACUUUCGGAAUAUGCAAGCGGUUAAACAUUGCAGAGUUUUUAUUCUGGCUAGAUUUAACAUUCUUCCAUCUCAAGCAUUUGAGGCAGGUGUGCUGGCAACUCUCUUUCCUUAAGGUUUGCCAUCAAGCGGUAGAAUCUAUAGAAAAUGCCCUUCUGCUCUGUAAUUUCUUUGCUGGAGUCUGGAGUUUGGCAGUGUUACAAUUGGCCCUUUGCUGACCAAACUACCAGGAAGGUCAGUUCAAUAUUAUCUUGAAUAUCUAAUGGAAGCUAAAAACCCCCAAAUGUGUCAUUGGGAGUGGCUAUGUUUCUAUUGACAGCAGAGUUAACAAGGCAACAACACACCACUUAAAACUGGAAGAACUAUAUUUAGGAGAUGAUUGUAGUUUUGUGUGAUUGUUUUCAUGCUGUAUUUCACCAUCUGUUUUGCUCUGAAAUUCUUGUGUACUGCAUGCUUUUUAUUUUUGGUCUAUUGAUUGUAAUAAAUUGAUUGAUUGAUUGAG